rnacentral:piRNA from 1 species
UGUUUUGGAAUGAAAUCUGUAUGGGGAGG